rnacentral:lncRNA from 10 species
CGCGCUUCCCACCUGCGAUCGGCGCCCUCUUCGCAGUCACGAACUCGCCAGCAGCUAGCAGCACUGACUAGUAGGAGGGCCCGCCGGAGGAGAGGACAUGCUCUGGAGUCAGAAGACAGCGAAAAGAGAAGCAGAAGCCCCGGUGGCAAGAGUCUGAAGCAGGAAGGAUGACUGUAGCCUGUGGAUUGUACUGCAGUAGGAAACUGUCCUAGCAAGGCUCCACUUUGCCCCAGCUUCAAGCUGGAAAGGAGGAGAACAUGAAACAUUGCUUGAAGACAAUGGCCGAGACAGCAGGUCCCACCCUGCACAGCCACCAGCAUCUCUCCCCUCAGCCCUGUCUCCUCUUCUGCAGUUGGGAUCUGCACAUUUAAGCCUGAAAUUGUCCUGUGAAGUGAAGUAUGAUCGGACAGCCUCUUUUCAGCUUUUAUGACAAUGGAGACAGAGGAAUUGUGGCUCUUGCCAAGGUCACAGGAUUGGAAUACAGAGCCAAGCCACCCCAGGACAUGCAAGAGCCUCAGAAGGGAAAAAAGCCCAGCAGGAAGGGAGAACAAGUAGCCUCUGUCCUGAAGUUGUAACAGCCAGGGGCCAGGAUGGAGGAGGAGGACCCCAUAAUCUGCCCAUCUGGGACUUGGCAGGGGACCUGGGAAAAUGUACCCCAACCCAUCCCUUAAGGGCCUUUGUCUUUGGCCCAUUGGCCUAGCAUCUACUUCUUCACCGUGUCUGUUCUUGUCACACCUAGUCAGGUCUGUUUGGGUCUGAGGUGCAUGGAACAUUCUGGGUAGGCCUCCAGCAAACGGAAGCUCUUCACCGUGUUUCCAGCCUGGGACCAAGGGCAGCAUACUGGCAAAGUUGCCAAAGCAAGGGACUCCAGCCUCUUAGGAGUUAAUGACUCCCUCUCCCCAGCUGUCCUCCCCUUGGUGCUCCUCUUCCUCCCUCCUCCUGCUCACAGCAGGCAGGGCCUAGACCCGGGAGCCAUGCUGCUGUGCUGUUGCCAGGGGAGCACGGAGGCAGAUCUGAGCUAUGCAGGGAAAAGGCCCAGCCUGUCAAAGUGUCUGAGAUGAACCGCCGCCGUCCCUGUGCAGCUGGGCUCAGACGUGUCUCAGCUCUUGUUCUGUGCCUGAGAAUGGCGAAACCCAGUGAGGUUCAAGGGCAAACUCGCUAUUCAUUAGUCAGGGGUUCUUGACGUCCCGUCUCUCCCAGGGAUGAGUUCCCCCCUCCUCUUUCUCCCCCUCCUAUGACACAUUCCUGGGUGCCUUUGGUGAGGACUGCACACCCUCCUCCUGCCUAGCCCCCUCUCCAAAGGCCCCUGAAUAAACUCCCCCCAAGGAGACCAGGCAGGGCAGAGACAAUGGCUGCAGGAAAUCAUUCAGGCGGGACAUGCUGGCCUGCCCUCCACCCAGUCCCCCUGUGGGCCCCACUCCCUUCUGAUUCAGGGCACCCUUGGGCCCCCAGCCUAUACAGGCCUGGACAGGAAGAAACCACUGGGAACCACCCUAAGGACAACAUGCUAGUCCAGUGCCAUUCUUCGCUGGCUCUGUGGGUGCCUUUGUGGCCUGUACCGACUGGCUGGCUAAUUUUGUGGUUUCUGUACCAUCACAUGCCUAUUUUAAGACACUCUCCAGCACUGUCGGUUAGGGAGUGUAAAUUUUGCAAUAUUUUCUGAAAUGUGGCAAUAUCAAAAUGUAAAAGGCACACAUACUUGGUCACAAACAAAUGGCACUAUUUACUCUGUGGGCAUAUUUGUAAAAGUUGCCAAAGAAUUAUAUACAAGGAUGUUCAUCAGAGCAUUUCUUUUGAAGAGUAAAGAAAUGGACAUGAACCUGUGGUCCGUUCAUACGGUGGAAUACCUAUGCAGCUGUAAAAAUCAGUGUGGUAGAUCUCCGUAUAUGAGUUGAUGUGGAAGGUUGGCCAGUUCACAUGAUAAGGUGAAUAGAAUAAGUUACAGAACAGGCUGUAGAGUAUGAUCUUAUUUGUAGAUGUUUAAAACUGAGUCAUAAGUAUGCUUAUAUACAGAUCGUUUCUGGAAGUAUGUACUGGAAGUCUACCUCUGGGGAGUGGGGAUGGGGGAGUGCACUCUUCUAUACUGUUAUAUUUUCUUUUCAUGCUCCUAAGGUACUUUUAUUGGAAGAUGUAAAGCGGUUCAAUGUAAUAGGCUUAACUUCUGUCAACUAAGUUGGCGUGGGUGCUUUAAGAGGGUGGUAGUGAUGUUGCUGGAGAAAGUAUCCCACAGUCACUGGUGGCUUCAGCCACGGGCCAUUUUGGGGCCUAAUAAUCACAUAUCAUCAUGGUUGCUAGUGUUAAUCGAAAACCUACUAAGUGCCAGGCUUACUGUCUCUGGGUCUUGCUUACGUGGAUGUCAUUUUUCCAGUUGCACCAAAUCGAAAGAGGUUAAUUGGUUUGUUGGAGUUCCUUUGUAGGUGAAGGGCAGAGCCAGGAGCUUGGCUAGGGACAGGGGAGGUGAGUGGGGGAUGGUGGAUAGGUCUUGGCUCCCAGUUUCCUUCUGGGCAGACAUUGCCCCUCUGCCCUGAGGACCUGCUUGUUUGGGGGAAGAGGCCUUUAGAGGCACCAGGGUCAUGCCAGGUGUUGGACAUGGUGAACUGGGAAGUGCUCCCAUCUGGCCACAGCGCAGAAGUAUCACCGUGCUGGGGGAUGGGGAACAGGGCUGUGAAUGGGCCUAUUUGCAUAAGCAGCAUGUGUCUGGAGAGAAAGACAUCACAGAGCAGAAGAGUGCGGGUGCCCAGGAGUGCACUUGCCACCCCUACUUCAUCCCUGAAAGAGUAAAUGGCCUGGAAGGUGUCUCUGAGAGGUAAUGCCGCACACCACCCUCCCUGGGGGCAGGGUCAGGCUACACCUGCCUUAGGUCGGGGGCUGCAGCAGCCUGAGAGCUCUCAGUAGGGCCUCAGUAGCCUGGGAGGGAGCAGGGGCAGGGGGCAGGGAAAGAGGCGUAAUGGGGCUGUCCAGAGGGGCCUGGGAAACCUGGUCCCUGAGGCCUGGGCACAGCUACAAUCACUUCAAAUUGGCUGUGGGGCCAGUGGACUGGGAAGGAAAAAAGCAAUAAGAGUGACCAAGUGCAGAAGGCUGUCAGGUCCCAGGUCACAUGCCUUAGUGCAGUGACUCCUCAUCAUUUUAUGGGGUGUGGGUGUCGUUGGUACACCCAUUUUACAGAUGAGGACACCGAGGCCCAGAAAAGUUAAGUUACAUGUCCUAAGUCACACAGCUUGUAAGUGCCAGAACUGAGAUCAAAACCAAGUCUCUUUGACUUUAAAGUCUGUACUCUGACCCCAAAGAGAUCCUGUUUGGCCACUUAUAGGAGGUCCCUAAAGCUGCAGACUCCCCUUGCCGGCACCCACAUAUAGAGACAUUAACCCUUCCCCUGCAGGGUCACCUCAAAUAGUCUUUUAGCUGGGCUUCUCCUGCAAUUCCACCUAAUGCCAUCCCCUGGGUUUUGCCCAAACCUGAACUGGGCAGUGGGGUGAGAGGAGGGGUUUACAGGGUUACAGAGCCUCAUACAGAUAGGAGCCCAUGGCUGCUGGUCAUCUGCAUUCCUGCAGGAUUGGCUGUUCCUUGGGGUCCUUGGCAGGAAAAUGAGGAUUGCUCCGAGGCCUGCUCCAGUACUUCCCAGAGGCUGGCCUGGUGUGGGGCUCUGGGAAGGCUGAGGCUGGAGAAGCGUAAGUAGGAGGGCAGAGAUGGCACUCAGGUAGCUUGAAUCACCAGGACCCUUCCAAGCCCCACAGGUUCUGAGGGAGUACUAGGGCCAGCUCUGGGAGAGGUCUCUUCCUAUGCUGUGAACCCCCUGCCUUUCUU